CCUCCAUGAGCUUUCCUGCAUCAAGAUUGUUUAACUUUUAAUUCGAUCAAAAAUAGAAUAUUCAUACAUGAUCUAACAAAUUUAUAAAAAUAUCCAGUUAAGACAAUCCCACAAGUUGAAGUGACCACAUGACAUCUUCCCCCCAUUGAAAACUGGCCUUGGAAGAACAAGUUGGAACGCGUCGUGUCUGAACAUUUCUCCAAACCUUAAAAGAAUCAAACAGAGACCAGAACAUACAACAGAAGCUAAAAACCAGAAGAGGAGAAAGAAAUGGCAUCUCUCGUAACCCAUCUGUGUGCCAGUCUUUUCCUUCUCCCUAUUGGCCUACGACGUCUCUUCUGCUCCUCUUCUCUUUACCUCAAGAACACAUCUCUUUUUAGAUCCAAAACAUGGUACCUCUCUGAUCCCAAAUGGAUUAAUCUUGAUUUAUAUGCUCUCACUGUAGCCCUCCCAAUUGCUUCUUUCUCUCUAAUCUUUCUUUUCUUCUCUAUUAGCACGGGUCAUAUAACUUACCGUUUCUCGUUCUUGCAUCAAUCAUUGCUUCUAUUUCUCUACUGGGUUUUGGCAAUUCUGUUUGUUCUACGCGAUAACAUUGACCUUUUAGUCAUUCUUGAUAAUUUCUUGUUUGUGUUUGGUGGGAUUUUGUUUUUUGUAGAGUAUUCUUUUAUUGGUGAGGGCACUUCUGGUCUUGUUGGUGAGGCUGUUUAUGGUUUGUGUGGUAAUCUGAGUCUUGUUUGUGGACUUUGUUGUUUGUAUUUGGCUAUUAGGCCUGGUGCAUUUUUUGCCGAGUAUUGUUUGUGUUGUGGGUUGGUUUUGAAAGGGACUUGGUUUUUGCAAGCUGGGUUGUGUUUAUAUACUGAUGUUUUUGGUUUGAAAGGGUGUCAUAAGAUUGAGAUUUUGCCAGGAAGUGGAAAUGUUGAGUUGAAGUGUGAUCUUGAGGAAGAUGGAUUGAGGGGGGUGGCAUUGGUGAAUUUGUUGUUUGUUGGGCAUGCAAUUAUUGUCUUUCUUGUGAGUUUGGGGAUGCUUGCAUUGUUGUCAAGUAAUACGAAUUUGAGGCAUGGUGAAGCAAGUGGUCCUUUGUUGGCAGGGCUUGAAUCUGAGAGUGCUUUGAUGCGGGCGCUUCCUGAAUUUGAGGUUUUUCUAUCAAAGUGCAAAGAAAUGGAAUGUGACUAUCCUUUCAGUGAUCUACUUGCAAGAUGCUUUAUAAAAAAAGGUUGUAGGAGCAUGAGAUGGAUCCAGUGUUUAUAAGAGGAAGAUGUGAUACAGGAGCAACAUCUAAGUAGUAUGUAUGUUUAGUACUGUAGCACGCUACUGAAGGAAGACUUCUCUAAAUGUGCCCUGGAUAAAAGAAGAAAAGAGUCAGACAAUAGUUGUGAUUUAAAUCAAGAUAUUUCUGGUAUCCUGUAUGCAGCGUUGCAUGACUUGUCUAAGAUAACUUUUUUACCUUGAAUGAUGAAUUUUUCUCUCACGUUCUGAUAUCUUUUUUUGCUAACAAACGAGCACUUUCUAUCUGUUGAUACUUUUGUUUGUCAUCUUCUCCCUCACAGACACACACACACACACACUCAAGCAUAUGCAUGCUUGUGUGUGCACGCACUUUUUACCUUUUGUAGUUUAGUUUUCAUCCACAUUUAUCUGUAACGCACAAGUCAAAUUGGCAAUUAUGUUAUCACUUUGAGAAUUCUCAGCAGCAAAUGAUGUUGUUGGCUUUUGACCAAUAAAUAUACCAGAUGCUUGUCUACUGGUUCAGUAUUUUGAUGUUCUGUGAAGUCUUCAAUUGAUGAUCUCCAGAAGGAAACCUUGGAGAUUUCUUCCUCUCGUUUACUAAAAUCAGAUUGAUGGAACUGUUGCCACUACAUCCUCUGGGAACAUAUUGAGGUUUUUAUUUUAAAAAAAAUUAUCGGUAGUUCUUGGUUGUUUACUUUCCUUGUUAAAAUUUUCGAUGUUUCGGUUUUCAUUUAUAUUUAUAUACCUAUUCCUCAACUAUCAUUCUGCUUAUCUGUUUGGUUUGUUUUCCGCUUUCAUGAUUUUUCCUAUCCAUUUUGCUAACCAGGCGUGUUCCACUUCAGAAAAGGGAAGCAAGUAGAAAAGCAUUAGGGCCUUGUAAGAUAUAUUUAAGCUGAGUUUGCAAUCUAAGAUUACUUGAAGAAAUUUGGAUGACCAACAUUUUUCCGUUUUUAUCAAGGUGGAGGUAUGGCUGACUAAGAAAAAAAUAGAGGGAAGGUUGUUGAGGAGGUCCUUUAUAGCAUGCGUCUCUAGAUAUGCUGGUAAGGUAGAGUAAUUGUACUAGAGUAGAAGGGAUGAGAGUAUUAAUAUGGAUGUUAGGAUGCGUAAAUACACUAUUAAAGUCUGGAUAAGAAAUGAGUACAUAAUCUGGAUGGUGGGGGUGACUCCUGUUGAAGGGAACUUAAAGAGAAACUAGGAUCUUCUCACAUCCAACAUCAAAUCUGAAUGAACUGAUGAGGAAUGUGAUCACAUUGAAGUAUUAAGAUGGAAUAAGGAGGUUGAUGGAAAAAAUGUCACGGGCUAAAGUAAAAAACAAAAAUGAUUUAGUAUCAUAACAGUUUACAAAGAGCCUGACCUAAAAUAUUUCUGGAUGGAAAUCCAUGGAAAGGAACCCAAAUAGUUUAAGAUUGAGGGUUAUAUGAGUCGAGACAAUAAUAAAUAAAUCGAAAAUGACUUGAGUUGAAGUUGCAAGGAGAAAAAACAAGAAAUGGAUUUUAUUUUUGAAUUUCUUAUAUAUAUUGUAGCUUUAAACAGACUGGAGUGAAGAAAAAGGACUCAGUAUUCUUUAAGGGGCACCACAUAUAAGAAAUCUUAACUAGCAUCUUUUAAGUGGCUAUAGCAGAAACAUAUAUCAGUAGCUUCAGUUCUUUUGGUGAUCUAGGUAGGGUAUCUUACGGGAUUCAUUUGCAAUGUCAAUGCUCUAAUGUUGUUCUAGUUGGGGCACUAGUAAGCUGAAGAGAAAUUCAACUACAAAGGUGCAUCUGAUGGAAAUUCAUGGUGCUACAGCCCUGCAAAGCAGAUUUUGCUACCUACGUAAUGAUAAUUACCUUUCCUUCUUGCAGGUGUCUUCUUAGAAGGUUUGAUGAAGAGGGUAUGCUUAUCAGGAAGGAGUUAGGUACCGAAACUUUAACAAGUAAUAAAAACUAGAAUUGUGUGAAACCAUAGUACAUAUCUGCUGGCAAUUAUAGAUUCAAGUUUACUAUCCAGAGAAAUAAUGUUUCAACUGUUAAUCUUUUCUGUGUACACGGUUCGGCAAAACAAGGAAAAUAUACAAGGGGCUUGGUUGCUGGACUUUCAGAAAAACAAUGUCAGUGCAGAAAAUUUCUAAACGAUGGAAAUGUUGUUUAAACCACUCUAUUCGUGGUUUCGUCUUCAGUUAUGAGCAAGGGAAUACCAAAAGUGACAAACCCUCCAUUGGUGCUUAAAUCUUCUAAAGGUUCUCCUCUCAGUUCUGGCGGAGGAAUGGGUGACCAGGUGCAUGGUGGUGCUUUGGCCCAUUUUUCUGAACUACCCACAUCCAUGAGUUCCUAUUGCAAAAGGAAAAGGGGAAAGGCUAAUGAAGAUGCCGUGUUUUUUAAAGAACAACAAGAAGAGAAUUCAGGACCAAACCAAAAAUCAGAUGAGUCUCCGAUGUUUAGUGUUUUGCGAACCUGAAAGAAGGCUGUUGCUAUAAUCACAUCUGAGUGCUCUUUAAAACGCAUUGGGAAUACUGCUGUGAUUUUUUGUGGCUGUCAAGCAAAAAAUAUUAUUUCAAUUUAGCAGCCUGUACUCGAAUAUGAAGUCUCAUAUUGUCCCCCAGGGAUUGAAACCUUAAUUAGAAGAAGAUGAUGAUUGCCUGAGUGGUAUUACCUGUCUGAUGACAUAGAAGGGCUCUCUUGGGUGAUAAACAAGUUUAAUUGGCUUAUUCAUUCCUUGGGAUGUGUCCUGGGAAUUGACAUUUCUCAACAUUUCUUUCAGCUGGGAACAUAGUAUAACUGCUUGCACUGAGGAAAUUUGCGUAAUCACUUUGUAAGGGUCUGGAAAGGAACAUUUGUAUCAGCAUGAUUAUGAAGUGCAGAAAUUUCACAGCAUGUGUCACAGAAAACUUGGUAUGGAUGUCUUCAAAUCUGAGAUUGUGGACGGUGGAACUGGCAGAAGCAGGAAACCUGUUAUUUAAGAGGACAGCUAACUAAGUACUACAGUGAUCUGGUACUGUAGUUGAUCAAAGAUUCAAAAUGUCAGGUUCAACAAUCUCCACAGCAUCCGAGCAAACUUGCUUUACCAUCUGCGUAGUGUACGAUGACAAACCACAUGAUAGCAGGGCUCCCUGGGACAGUAGUGGAGUUGAUAAUGACAGAUUUCCAGAUGCUGAGUCAUUCCAACUGUUGGUGUUGACAUAAGUUAUCUGUAAUUAUCAUGCUAAGAGUGCAAUAGACUAACCUGAACAUGGUAUUCCACGCACCCGAAUUCAUACAAGUGAUGAUCAAUCUCCACAGGCUUCUCAGCACUAUCAUGAAAGGAAGAGAAUCAAUUUUCAUCAUCGUUUUUGUUGAUCAUCCAUGCAACUUGAGAUGCAUGUUUGCUUACUUGGAAUGUGAAGGAGAAGAAAGCAAUUUCAAAACUGACCAGAGCAAUGAAAGCCUACUAUUUUCAAGAAGUUACCUUUAAACAAAGAAAUUCAAUCAUCUCGGAUAUGAUAAAUGAGGAUUAGCAACAAGUAAAAUUCUACCUUGAGAAUCUUGAUGGAUCAAAAGUGCUUACUGGUAUAACUUGAGCAGGAUCUCCUUGAGUGCAGGGGACACCCUCUCAAAGCAUGCCAUGUUGAAGAAUCCUCUAUCAAGUUUUAACUCGCAUGGUGGUGGAAAUGAACUGAGAUAUAGAACUUCAAAUCCACAGGUUUUGUCUAUAUCUAUGAACUUCGAGUAGAAAGCAAGUUGAAAUCUUGCAAUCAUUGUGAGCAACCCAUGAAGCAAGUACCUACCGUUAUUUCCCUCUCAUCUCUCCAUCUUUCUGCUUUGUCACUCUGUUGUUUGUAAAGUACGCUAAAUCGAUCACCUGCCAACAUCCUCCUACUGUAAACUUCUGUUUGAUUUUCCUAUACUAGUGCCUAUACUGUGAGUACAUUUUUUUU